rnacentral:rRNA from 1 species
GGGAACCUCACCCGGCCCGGACACCGCGAGGAUUGACAGACUGAGAGCUCUUUCUCGAUUCGGUGGGUGGUGGUGCAUGGCCGUUCUUAGUUGGUGGAGCGAUCUGUCUGGUUAAUUCCGAUAACGAACGAGACCCCAACCUGCUAACUAGCCCUCGGGUCCUGCUUCUGUUGGGCCCGACGGAAUGAUUCGCUUCUUAGAGGGACUCGCGGCGCUUAGCCGCACGAAGGGGGGCGAUAA